rnacentral:rRNA from 1 species
UACGAAGGGGGCUAGCGUUGCUCGGAAUCACUGGGCGUAAAGCGCACGUAGGCGGAUUGCUAAGUCAGGGGUGAAAUCCUGGAGCUCAACUCCAGAACUGCCUUUGAUACUGGCAACCUUGAGUCCGGGAGAGGUGAGUGGAACUGCGAGUGUAGAGGUGAAUUCGUAGAUAUUCGCAAGAACACCAGUGGCGAAGGCGGCUCACUGGCCCGGUACCUGACGCUGAGGUGCGAAGCGUGGGGAGCAAACAGG